CAUCACCUGUGACUUUUUGCACAGAUCUCACCUUCUCCUGGAGGUCCACCUUGACCUUACUAAUCAAAACUAUAACUCACUACCCAAACCCCGACCUGUCCCUGCUCCCCAUUCCUCUUAGCCUGUUCUAUUUUCCCAUAGCCCUUAGCCACCUUCUACCAUACUAUAGAUGUGAGUCACUUAUUUUAUAAUUUUUGAAAUUGUUUUGUAGAGAUGGGGUCUCACUUUGUUGCCCAGGUUGGUCUGGGACUCCUGGGGUUAAGUGAUCCUCCUGCCUCGGCCUUCCAAAGUGCUGGGAUUACAGGCAUGAGCCACCACACCUGGCCUUUAUGACAUUUAUUGUUUUACUGCCUCUUCCCACUAGAGUAUAUGCUCCACGAAGACAGAUUCUUUAGCUCUGUACUCUGCAGUUGAUGGUAUUUCCUGCUGUUUAGAGCAGUGCCUGGCACAGAGAAGGUACUCAAUAACCAUCUAUUGAACAAAAGAAUAAAUAAACAAAUGAAUAGAUAAAUGGAGGGAGCCAACUCCAGCCCCAGCCUCUGCAGCUUCAUGCCCAGGAACACAGCGUGUUCUCUCCCUGGCACCAACGCCACAGUUCUUGGCACCCAGGAGGGUCUCCAACUCAAAGUUAUGUGUAAAAUGAAGGUGAGGACAGGGCCAGUGAAGGUUAUUCCCUGGACCCCAUCACACUCCCUGAAUCCCUGCAGGGCAGGAUGGACGAUCCCUUCUCAAGGCUCUCCUCUCAUUCCCACUCUGAAGAGCACUACGGGGAAAUGAGAGCUGAGCCCACAGCCCCCUCCCCCGCCAUCACCCACACAGUUUCCACAGCAACAACAGCUUCCUUAAUAAUGCGAUUAAACAGCUGGAUGGGGCUGAUAAGGGGAAAGGUCCGGCAUCCAGAAUGGACCACGUGGCAGAGGCCUCCCUCAUGGCAGACUUCAUGGUCAUUGAAGCUGAAAUCACUGCAGACUCAUACAGGCGAGACCCAGGCCCAGGUGACGUGGGGGAACAGCAGGAUUGAGGAGAAGCCAGCCUGGGGUCACAAGCAAUGAAACACCGUAGCCAGAAGCCAAGAGCUCGGAGGUCGAAGCCACUCAGCAUGGGGUUCGCUUGUAGCAGCUAAGAUGGCAGAAAGCAGCCCGGGAGCCCUGGCCUUGCAGGGAAGACUGGGUUCCUGAGGGGAGGGUGAGCUAUGGUGUCUGCUCAGUGGAGGAGUGUCUACCUCCCACUCAGCUUCCCCGUGGAUGUGCAGGUCACUGUCUUCAUUUGAGAGUCAAAAUACAUUGGCAUAGGAACCUUGCCCAUUACUCAUACAUUUUGGUGGCUGCCUACUAGAAGGCAGAGGAGACCCUGAUACCCAGGAGCUCUAAACUUUGAAGGGCCUUAAUCAUGCAUGGCCUUGGCCCCCAAGCCCAAGGCUCAUCCUUCCAAAAUUGGGCAACUCCAGACCUGAAGUAGGCCCCAGAGCCCACCUCAGUUCUGCUGGAGCCCAGAGAAGGUGAGUUAUUUGCCCAAAGUCACACAGCUGGUGAAUAGCAGAAUUGGGGCUAGCUAAAACAGAGCAGGAGACACAGGGAGCUGAGCCUCCAAGGGACCAGGGAUCUGCCCCUCCCUAGGAUGGGUAAGCAGCUAAGGGAACAAUGAGGUUACCUUCCCCAUGUGGGCCUGACCAAGGGGAGACCCAUAGGCCUCUACCAAGUGCUGCUUCUAAGUAAGCUCCAUAUGGAGAGCAGGAAGAGAGCUAGGGAAGGAGGAGUCCAGAAAUCUCAGAGGAGGAACCAAUGAAUCCCCACUGGCCACAUCUUCCCUCUUCCCAGCCACAGAAUCUCAGGACCCCACCUUCUUUCCUGGCUUGAAUCCUCUCUCCAGCAUCCCUACCAAGCAGUCGCUAACCAUGUCCUUACAUACUCCCCAGUGACGGGGAGCUCACUACUUCUCAGGCAGUCCGUGCCAUCUUUGGAUGGCUUUCAUGGUCAGGAUCUUCAGUUUUCUAAGCUUCCUGGGGCUGUCAGAUCAAGGCUAAUUCUGCCUGUUUACCUGGGGGGUAAAUAGCUCCAGGCCCUUCCUCCAUAUACUCCCUUCACCACCCAGGUGCUCCCCAACCUCUGUGAUUCAGAACAGAGAGGAAUCCUGCAGGCAGAGGCCAGCACAGCAGAGCAAAGGGACCCCACCUCCUCCCUUGUUCUGAGGCACCUCUGGCCUCCUGAGUAGUGAGGUGGUUAAAUUACACAGUUCACUCUUUUGGAAUUUAUUUCCACAGAAACUCCCAAGGCACAUUCAGGGAAGUUGGUAACCGGCUUCACAGUCGAUACAGGCGCCACAAACCUGCCAUGGCCAUACCAGCCUGGCCCCAUGGGCAGUGAAAGGAAGUGUGCAUGUGAGGCAAAGGCACAACCUCUGGACCUUGGCGGCAAGUGGCCUGUCAAUGCUGAAUAAUAGAUGGAGUUCCUGUGGGACUGGGAAAGAAGGGCAGUGACAGAGAAGUUGCACCAUCUCAGAUUAACCUUUGGGUCACCCACAGAAAAAGAGAGAAUCCCAAAAACGCCUUUUUACAGUUUUUUUUUUAACCUCCAUUGCCCCAAGUUUCAAAAACUCCAUAUAAUGCCUUCAGCCCAUCCUAAACACAGCCCAAGAGCAUGGGUCCAGACUUAUACACCUAUGCACACACGAGCACAGCACGAACUCUUGGGUAACACCCCACGUGCCUGUGUGUAUGCGUACACACCUACAGGGCACAUAUGUACAAAUACUUAAAAUAGGAAAAAGACUUAGAGAUUGGGAUUCACAGGCCCUGGACACCCCUUGAAUGACCACAGAGAAGCCCCUUUAAUCUGAGCUCCCUCUGUAAAACGGAGAGCACAUGAUCACUUGCCUCAUAGAGGCAAGUAGGUUUGAAAGCUGGUAAGAAAGCUCCUGGGCUGUAUGCACUUAACUCACCUGAACUGUGCUGGAGGCUGGAGUCAGCAGGCUGAAAAGCAGCUUGUCUUAGAAAGGGAUUUGGAGUGAGAGUCACAAAAGGCCUGAUUUUCUUUUCUUUUCUUAUUUAUUUAUUUUUUUACAGACAGGGUCUCGCUCUUUCGCCCAGGCCACAGUGCAGUGGUGUGAUCAUAGCUCACUGUAAUCU